rnacentral:rRNA from 1 species
GAUGAACGCUGGCGGCGUGCCUAAUACAUGCAAGUCGAGCGAACAGACGAGGAGCUUACUCCUCUGACGUUAGCGGCGGACGGGUGAGUAACACGUGGAUAACCUACCUAUAAGACUGGGAUAACUUCGGGAAACCGGAGCUAAUACCGGAUAACAUGUUGAACCGCAUGGUUCAACAGUGAAAGACGGUCUUGCCGUCACUUAUAGAUGGAUCCGCGUCGCAUUAGCUAGUUGGUAAGGUAACGGCUUACCAAGGCAACGAUGCGUAGCCGACCUGAGAGGGGGAUCGGCCACACUGGAACUGAGACACGGUCCAGACUCCUACGGGGGGCAGCAGUAGGGAAUCUUCGGCAAUGGGCGAAGGCCUGACGGGGCAACGCCGCUUGGGUGAAGAAGGUCUUCGGAUCGUAAAACUCUGUUAUUAGGGAAGAACAAAUGUGUAAGUAACUAUGCACGUCUUGACGGUACCUAAUCAGAAAGCCACGGCUAACUACGUG